rnacentral:rRNA from 1 species
GACGGAGGGGGCUAGCGUUGUUCGGAAUUACUGGGCGUAAAGCGCGCGUAGGCGGCGCAUUAAGUCAGAGGUGAAAGCCCGGGGCUCAACCCCGGAAUUGCCUUUGAGACUGGUGUGCUUGAGUACGGAAGAGGUGAGUGGAAUUCCCAGUGUAGAGGUGAAAUUCGUAGAUAUUGGGAAGAACACCAGUGGCGAAAGGCGGCUCACUGGUCCGGUAAACUGACGCUGGAGGUGACGAAAGGCGUGGGGAGCAAAACAGGAUUGAGAUACCCCGGGUAGUCCA